UGCAAUACCGAAAUGAAGUUCCUUAUGCAUGCCAGGUUAAUGUAGUUAGUUACAAGACUAGACCGAAUGCGAAAGACUUCAUUCAAGUCGAAGUUAUAGUGGAGAGAAACACUCAAAAGAUCAUCCUUAUUGGAAAGGAAGGGAAGGCUUUAAAGCUUCUUGCCACAGCUGCAAGGCUUGACAUAGAAGAUUUCCUACAAAAGAAAGUUUUUCUGGAGGUUGAGGUGAAGGUGAAAGAGAAUUGGAGGCAAGAUGAAGGUCUCCUGAAGGACUACGGCUACGGGGGCCAUAUUCAAGCUUUGUGAUUUGGAAACUCUGUUUUGAACUCUUAAUGGAUGGAAUGUGAAUGAUGAUCAGUAGCUCUUGAUGCUCUCCAUGAUGAACUAGCUGUAAUUUCUAUAAAUGUUUCCCAAAGUACAGCAGGCUAAUUAAGCAGACGGGAUUUUGUGAAAGUUCUUGAUGUCAGG
rnacentral:misc_RNA from 1 species